rnacentral:tRNA from 1 species
UCCCCGCUAGCUCAAUGGUAGAGUAACCGGCUGUUAACCGGUGUGUUGGAGGUUCGAGUCCUCCGCGGGGAG